GACGAACGCUGGCGGCGUGCUUAACACAUGCAAGUCGAACGGAAAGGCCCUGCUUUUGUGGGGUGCUCGAGUGGCGAACGGGUGAGUAACACGUGAGUAACCUGCCCUUGACUUUGGGAUAACUUCAGGAAACUGGGGCUAAUACCGGAUAGGAGCUCCCGCUGCAUGGUGGAGGUUGGAAAGUUUCGGCGGUUGGGGAUGGACUCGCGGCUUAUCAGCUUGUUGGUGGGGUAGUGGCUUACCAAGGCUUUGACGGGUAGCCGGCCUGAGAGGGUGACCGGCCACAUUGGGACUGAGAUACGGCCCAGACUCCUACGGGAGGCAGCAGUGGGGAAUAUUGCACAAUGGGCGGAAGCCUGAUGCAGCAACGCCGCGUGCGGGAUGACGGCCUUCGGGUUGUAAACCGCUUUCGCCUGUGACGAAGCGUGAGUGACGGUAAUGGGUAAAGAAGCACCGGCUAACUACGUG
rnacentral:rRNA from 1 species